rnacentral:rRNA from 1 species
GCCCUAGUAACGGCGAGUGAAGCGGCAACAGCUCAAAUUUGAAAUCUGGCCCUCGGGUCCGAGUUGUAAUUUGUAGAGGAUGCUUUUGGUGAGGUACCUUCCGAGUUCCCUGGAACGGGACGCCAUAGAGGGUGAGAGCCCCGUCUGGUUGGAUACCGAUCCUCUGUAAAGCUCCUUCGACGAGUCGAGUAGUUUGGGAAUGCUGCUCUAAAUGGGAGGUAUAUGUCUUCUAAAGCUAAAUAUUGGCCAGAGACCGAUAGCGCACAAGUAGAGUGAUCGAAAGAUGAAAAGCACUUUGAAAAGAGAGUUAAAAAGUACGUGAAAUUGUUGAAAGGGAAGCGCUUAUGACCAGACUUGGACUUGGUUGAUCAUCCUGGGUUCUCCCUGGUGCACUCUUCCAGUUCAGGCCAGCAUCAGUUCGCUGCGGGGGAUAAAAGUUUUGGGAAUGUGGCUCCCUCGGGAGUGUUAUAGCCCAUUGCAUAAUACCCUGCUCCGGACUGAGGUUCGCGCAUCUGCAAGGAUGCUGGCGUAAUGGUCAUCAGCGACCCGUCUUGAAACACGGACCAAGGAGUCGUCUUCGUAUGCGAGUGUUCGGGUGUUAAACCCCUACGCGUAAUGAAAGUGAACGCAGGUGAGAGCUUCGGCGCAUCAUCGACCGAUCCUGAUGUUCUCGGAUGGAUUUGAGUAAGAGCAUACGGGGCCGGACCCGAAAGAAGGUGAACUAUGCCUGUAUAGGGUGAAGCCAGAGGAAACUCUGGUGGAGGCUCGCAGCGGUUCUGACGUGCAAAUCGAUCGUCAAAUAUG